rnacentral:rRNA from 1 species
CCUACGGGAGGCAGCAGUGAGGAAUAUUGGUCAAUGGGCGGGAGCCUGAACCAGCCAAGUCGCGUGAGGGAAGACGGUCCUAUGGAUUGUAAACCUCUUUAGGCGGGGAGCAAUGCCGGGCACGCGUGCCCGGAGGGAGAGUACCCGCAGAAUAAGCAUCGGCUAACUCCGUGCCAGCAGCCGCGGUAAUACGGAGGAUGCGAGCGUUAUCCGGAAUCACUGGGCGUAAAGGGCGCGUAGGCGGUAAUAUAAGUCAGAUGUGAAAGGUGGGGGCUCAACCCCUAGAGUGCAACUGAUACUGUAUAACUUGAGUGUGAGAGAGGGAAGCGGAAUUCCUAGUGUAGCGGUGAAAUGCGUAGAUAUUAGGAGGAACACCAGUGGCGAAGGCGGCUUUCUGGCUCAUAACUGACGCUGAGGCGCGAAAGCGUGGGGAGCAAACAGGAUUAGAUACCCUUGUAGUC